CAUUACUCCAUGUUCGAAAUAUGCUAAGAUCUAUGAGUUUUUGUAAGGGUUAGUCAAUUAGAUAAUCAUAUUAUUGGUAUGCUGCACACACAAUAAUAUACUUCAAACCUUUCUCCGUUACAAACACUUAACAUAAAAUAGUGCAUUUGAUAGCCAGGAAAAAAAUGACUUGCCUUUCGAUCGAGACACCUUUAGAGAUGUAAUGUGGGAUACACGAAACAUAGGUGGAUAAUCUUCGAUACUUAUGCUCUAUACUAAACCCUAAACAUAUAAUUGAUACAAGACUAUAAUGACCAGUCCCACUUAGGUGAUAACAGUCCACUGAUCAGAACUUAAGUCCGAUCUAAGUAGAUUAUGAUCCGAACAUGAACUUAAUACCGAAAAUCCCACCCAUGCCUAGAUAAUCUCGUGAUCUUCACUUCUCAAUAUGGUUUAGCCUGAAAUUAAUCUGCAGUUAUAUAUUAAUUAUCAUUUGAUCGCAUUUUAUGGUUUGUAUAUGUAUAUAACUUUAUCAGAGAAUCAUAUACUCCAUGUCUAUAAGAGAUUUAAAGAAUGAGAUCAGAAUGAUUGCAUAAUUAAGGUACCAUGGCUUAAAUGAAGUCGGACUGUCAAGCCAGAUGCUACUGUCCAGCCUCCAUACUUGGACGACCGAUCUCAUUAAAGAUCGAUCGGCUUAUUUAUUGACUAUUUAAUAAGGAGAUCUUCGUUCUUUUUUUUUCUUCAGUUUCUCAUGAGCUUGAUCUGCAUCUCUAUGGAGUAUAUAUACAUCCUUUUCUUUUUAUAAGCAGAGCACAAGGUAAUUAUAACAUUUAAAAAAAGAUGAUAAAGAAGCCACAAUAACUAAGAGAAAGACGUUGUGUCUUUUGGAUUAUUGACACGAAAGGAGCAAAGCAACCUAAUUUCAAAGUACGAACGUACCGUCGGAUUGUUGACACGGAGAAAAGUUGGCCCACGUGUUUGGAGUUGAACGUUUUUAGCAUGAGACAAUGAUUUUUG
rnacentral:lncRNA from 1 species